rnacentral:lncRNA from 10 species
CAACAUGGAUCUCUCAAAUGUGAGCACCAAGACUGAAAACCACUAAGGAUAAUGAGAAGCUGUCUUUGUGCACACAUUUUGGUCUCCUCCCAUCCAUGCUGGAAAUAGCCACUUCAAUAUCAUCAGAAGGGUAUAAUGCUGGGAGACACUCUCUGGCCUCAUGGAGUUCCCUGUCCAGUUGGAUGGACACAAAGGCAAGAAGACACAGGGAGCGUGACAGCAGCUAUGAGAGGUGUUGGAGCCUGCGGCUGGGGUGGGCGCGGUGCCGGAAGGCUUCCUGAAGGGAAGGGCUUCUCCACCAGAUCCUAAAAACCAAGUAAGAGAUAGUCAAAUAAAGGAGACAAAAAUAUGUUAGGACGUCAAAACCAUAUGUGCAAAUUCAUGGUGCUAUUCGGAAACU